AUUCUCAACACCAGUUUAUUCACUUCAGUUCUUGUUCCUGUGUAUGUAGUUCUCUAUUAAUUCACAAAAGUAAGAAAAAAAGACAAUUAGAGAUAAAACGAAAUGCCUGUUUGACAGCCUUCAGCCUCCCAUGCUCCACAUGCGACUCCUCCCAUGGGGUGGCUGGGCAUCGUCCUGCUCCUUUUAUAGCCGACUGCCUGACAGGCACACUUCACUCUGUAUUUAGCCAUUUCCCUUCUGGAUAGUUCUUUGGUUCCCAGGAGGACAGACUGAGAUGGAGAUGGGUGUGCCCCAGGGACCUCCGCCUCUAAGGGAGAGAAGGAGCUGGACCGGACAGAGGGAGAAGUUGAAUGUGAUGCAGCUGCAAUGUGCUCAGCCAUUUCCCAGGGGAGCUUGGGGUUGGGAGGGCCCUGCAGAGUUAUUCCAGGCCGUCGUACCCCAGGUCAACCAGACACUGGGUGUAGGUUGUACCCCGGAGAGGGCACACCCUUGACAAGUCGCUCCUGGGGUGGGACUGGCUCUGAUUGCUAGUGACACUGCAAUGCUCAUCUUUGAAUGCACCUCCACCUGCUCGUGUACACGUGAGUCUCCAGAGUGGGGGCUGGGAAAUGUUUCUGGGUCUUUCAGCUAAUUGAUGUGGCCAACUUGUUGUCCAGGUAACUGAAUUCAUCUACAGUCCCACCACUCCCCCAUCCUUGCCAACGUUUUCUGUUGUCACGUUGUUUCCUUUUUGUAAAUCUAAUGAGAAUG